rnacentral:rRNA from 1 species
UACAGAGGGUGCGAGCGUUAAUCGGAAUUACUGGGCGUAAAGGGCGCGUAGGCGGUUAGUUAAGUAAGAUGUGAAAGCCCCGGGCUUAACCUGGGAACUGCAUCUUAGACUGGUUGACUGGAGUGCAGUAGAGGGUAGUGGAAUUUCCGGUGUAGCGGUGAAAUGCGUAGAUAUCGGAAGGAACACCAGUGGCGAAGGCGGCUACCUGGACUGACACUGACGCUGAGGCGCGAGAGCGUGGGGAGCAAACAGG